rnacentral:rRNA from 1 species
CGCUUAAAAGAUGGCUUCUCGCUAUCACUUCUGGAUGGACCUGCGGUGCAUUAGCUUGUUGGUGGGGUAACGGCCUACCAAGGCGAUGAUGCAUAGCCGAGUUGAGAGACUGAUCGGCCACAAUGGGACUGAGACACGGCCCAUACUCCUACGGGAGGCAGCAGUAGGGAAUCUUCCACAAUGGGCGCAAGCCUGAUGGAGCAACACCGCGUGAGUGAAGAAGGGUUUCGGCUCGUAAAGCUCUGUUGUUAAAGAAGAACACGUAUGAGAGUAACUGUUCAUACGUUGACGGUAUUUAACCAGAAAGUCACGGCUAACUACGUGCCAGCAGCCGCGGUAAUACGUAGGUGGCAAGCGUUAUCCGGAUUUAUUGGGCGUAAAGAGAGUGCAGGCGGUUUUCUAAGUCUGAUGUGAAAGCCUUCGGCUUAACCGGAGAAGUGCAUCGGAAACUGGAUAACUUGAGUGCAGAAGAGGGUAGUGGAACUCCAUGUGUAGCGGUGGAAUGCGUAGAUAUAUGGAAGAACACCAGUGGCGAAGGCGGCUACCUGGUCUGCAACUGACGCUGAGACUCGAAAGCAUGGGUAGCGAACAGGAUUAGAUACCCUGGUAGUCCAUGCCGUAAACGAUGAGUGCUAGGUGUUGGAGGGUUUCCGCCCUUCAGUGCCGGAGCUAACGCAUUAAGCACUCCGCCUGGGGAG